GACGAACGCUGGCGACGCGCUUAACACAUGCAAGUCGAACGGAAAGGCCUGCUUUCCCUUGUGGAUUGCGGGUACUCGAGUGGCGAACGGGUGAGUAACACGUGAGUGAUCUGCCCCCAACUUGGGUAUAAGCCUGGGAAACUGGGUCUAAUUCCCGAUAGGACUGCAGGGUGGUGCCUGUGGUGGAAAACGAUUUUCUAGUGGUUGGGGAUGAGCUCGCGGCCUAUCAGCUUGUUGGUGGGGUAAUGGCCUACCAAGGCGGCGACGGGUAGCCGGCCUGAGAGGGUGGACGGCCACAUUGGGACUGAGAUACGGCCCAGACUCCUACGGGAGGCAGCAGUGGGGAAUAUUGCACAAUGGGCGGAAGCCUGAUGCAGCGACGCCGCGUGGGGGAUGACGGCCUUCGGGUUGUAAACUCCUUUCGACCGCGAGGAAGCCACCUGGCUGGAAGGGUGGUGACGGUAGUGGUAGAAGAAGCACCGGCUAACUACGUG
rnacentral:rRNA from 1 species